ACGGUUUACAAAAACAUUAGUCACACAAUUCACAUAGAUAGGUAAUUCACUAUAUACUAAUUAUAAAAUCAGAAGUUAAAAGACUAAGAUAAGUGUAUGUAAUAGUAUAUAUAGAGAAUUAUAUGUUAUAAACAGUAAGCAAAUUCAAAGGUGAAAGCCAAUUUGGAUGGGACUGGGCGUUGGGUUCACUCGGGGGUUCCUCGCUAAAUAAAACCAAAGUUCCACUACAACCAAGGAAAGAGAUAGAUCACAUCUUGGCCAAAUGCUGUCGACCCCAUGACAGCAAGAAAAGGCGAUCUUGUGCUAUACUCCGGUGAUCUCUUUCCUACCGAGACACGUAAACUCCCAUCGUGUCCCAGAUCAUGUUCAUCAAUAGACGAAGCUCUCUCUUUAUCAUCUCAUACUAGAUGCAACAUCCUUUUUCCUUCUCGCGAAGGGGAGUACAAAGAAGGCAGCAAGAGCUCUUGGAAAGUGUGUAGUGAUUGAUGAAGAUAUAAGGUAAGGGUAAUUUAGUCAAGUCACACAAAAGUUUAUACCUCAUCUACAGUAAAAUCCUUUUUUAACCAAUCCUUAUAUUUUGUUUUAGCUGAAAUGACCAUAUUACCCUUAGAAUCUCCAGCAGCCAUGCUGACCUGUUGCCUGCUUAUUCUCCCUUAUUAAUAGUUAGAAAAUAGAAUCUAAAGCCGAACACAUCAGCACAUGUAUUUUUAAUGCUACAAUUAUAGUAAGUUUAAAUUGCAAUAAUUCAUCAAUUGCUUAUUGGCCGACGCGAGAUUAAUUUGCUUUUUAAGGUGCAUUGGUGUUUGUUUGAGGUCAAUUAUUGGAAAAAAGAAAUUUCCAGAAAUAUUUUUUCCUUUUUCCGAUUUUUUUUUCUUCAAAAAUGUGUUUGUCCAUGAAAUUUUGUAAGUUUUUAAAAAUAUUUCGAAAAUGAGUUUUUUAAAGAAAUUUUUGUUUCCGCGCUCACAAAACUGCGGUAUUUUUUCAAGUGAAAUACAUGUCCAAAAGUAAUUUUAAAUUUCAAAUACUAUUUUUAACUUAACUCCAAAUAUUUUUUUUUUAAAAAAACUAUAAAUUUUUAUGUCCAAACGCCUACUUAGAGUUUUCAAAGAAAAUAUUGCAAGAAGUUUUUCGAAAAUAUGUCUUUCUUCGUUUAGUUGCUUUCAAAGAAACAUCCUUUUCCAUUUACGAGAGGCGCACAAUUUUUUUAGAAUUCAGGGGCAUAAAAUACUUUUUAUCUUAUUCAAAAAGGUUUUUUUAUGUCGUUGUCACUCUCUUAUUUUUGUUGAUAACCGUAUUUUAAUACUAUGAUAUUAUUCUAUUUUUGUUACUAUAAAUAUUAUUUUUGUGGGUAGUUUAUUCCCACCAUUUUUGUCAUUAAUUAACAUAUUCAGGAUAUUGAUAAGUCACAUUAAACUAUGUCAAAAGAGGUGCUUGUGGACUAGUGACUAUUAACAGAAAUAUUACAAGAUAUCAAACAUUAAUAAAAAAAAACGUGCGGUCCGAAGAAAACCGUCUAGAACCUAUAAAUUGAUGAAAUUAGUAACUAGCUUCUGCUUAUGGUUAUGGAUUGCUCACAAAUUUGCAGCAAGGUACUUUUCAUGAAAAAAAGAGUGAAGCUCAUGCUGAAUUAUUCAAUGUACGUCAAAACGUAUCAGCUAAAUUACAAUAAGUUCUAAUCUCACGUUGUGAGACCCGAAACGUCUAUCUUUAAAUUUAAUAAUUAUUUUUGUAUUUUAAAAUCUCAAAUAGCAUUAUUCACCUUUACUUGACUUGCGUGCGCUGUCCGUAAAUUUUUUGGAAAGUUUUUAUGUGAAAAAGAUUGAUUAAAAUGUGAAAUAGUGCUUCAAAACUCAUUUGAGUUGAUUUCGGUCAACGUUUAGAGCAAACAGACCCAGAUCAGUAUUUUGACAGUUCUGAUAGGUCCGUAUCGUGAUUUGGGACUUGGGCGUAUGCCCCGAAUUUAAAUUGGAGGUCCCUAUCUUGAGUUAUCACCUUUUAUUGAAAAUUUGAAGUUUGAAAGGCUAAAGAUUUCUAAAGAUUGACCACGGAUUUAACUUUAUUGAUAUCGGGAUCGGAGCCCAAUUCUGGAAAUUGAAAUAGUUUCGUUAUGUCAUUUAUGACUUGUGCGCCAAAUUUUAAGUCAUUCCGGAUUCGUUUAAUACGUUUCGGCACGAGUUUUGUAAAUUGAAAAGUUUAAAACUCAAAAGUUCGAAUCGAGGUGUGAAUUGUAAAUUCGACGUUGUUUGACGUGAUUUGAGAUCCCGAGUAAGCCCGUGUUAUGUUACGGGACUUGUUGUUAUAUUCGGACGGGGUCCCGAGUACCCCAAGUAUGAUUCGAAUCGAAAUCGGAUAAAAAAUUGGACUUCAGCAAAAUCUGGAAUUUUGCUGCUUCUAGUGCCUUCGCUUCUGGGAAGUCUUGGCCGCAGAAGCGAGAAAUCCCUCACAGAAGCGGCCUGGGCAAGCUGGGCAAAAAGCUGCAGGUGCGGAACAUUGAACGCACUCGCGCGUCCGCAAAAACGGACUCUACGAUCGCAGAAGCGGAAGGUAGCGCAGAUGCGCAUUUGGCUCCGCAGAAGCGAGACCGUAGGCGCGAUCAAGUCCACCGCAGAAGCGAAAAUCUCUGGACAGUGUAUAAAUCGAAGAGUCCGAGAUUUUUCCUCAUUUUUAGACAUUUCAAGCACGAAUUCGGGCGAUUCCAAAGGGGGUUUUCACGAUUUUGACUUCGGUAAGUAUUCUAUAUCCAAAAAUGAUUAUAUUUCAUAAAUCCAUGUCAAUAUUCAUCAUUUAUUUCGGAUUUAGAUGGAAAAAAUUGGAAUUUUUGUAAAACUUUCCAAAAAAUAAAAAUUUAGGAUUUAAAAGCCAAUUCGAUGUCGGAAUUCGAUAAUUUUUGUAUAGUUGAACUUGUAUCGGAACGGGUGUUCGAAUUUUAUGUAUUUUUUCGGGAUUCGAGACGUGGGUUUCACUGUCGAUCUUUAAAAUAAAUUUUUGAUUUUAUCCAAAAAAAUUUUAAUUUCAUAUGGAAUUAAUUCCUACGAUUCGUAUUGAGUAUAUUGAAUUAUUUGUGACUAGAUUUGAAGCUUUCAUACACGAAUUCACGAGGCAAAGAUUUAUUGGAAUCUUAAAAUUUGGUUGCGAAGCGAGGUAAAUGUCGUGGUUAAUCUUGAAUUGAAGGAAUAGAACCCUUGAAUUAUUGUUACGUGAAUUUCAUGUGUAACGACAUAUAGGCGAGGUGACGAGUGCCUAUACGUCGUCAAAUUGAUUGUUUGCUCAUUUAUCUGAAAAUCAUAAAUUAUUUUAAAUCAUGAANNNNNNNNNNNNNNNNNNNNNNNNNNNNNNNNNNNNNNNNNNNNNNNNNNNNNNNNNNNNNNNNNNNNNNNNNNNNNNNNNNNNNCUACUUGUCAUCACUUGUUUCUAAAUAAAUCAUAAUUAUUGUAUGCUUGUUGUCUUAUAAUUUCAUAUUAAUUGUUGUAUUUAUUGGAGUAAUUUCUUUUAUAAGAAUUGGUAAAUUAUAUUAUUGGAGGAGCGAGUUGCACGCCGCAACAGAAAUAAAAGUGAAUAUAAUGGAGGAGCGGGUUGCACGCCGCAACAUAAUUGAUUGAAAUGAAUAUAUUGGAGGAGCGGGUUGCACGCCGCAACAGGAUUAAAGAAAAAUAAAUAUAUUAUUUGAGGAUCGGGUUACAUGAUGCAACGGAAACUGAUUGAAAUAAUAAAUGGGUUAUGACUGGCAAGUUGGUUUCAACUGUUGAAAUGAGUUACCUAUUUUAUUUUUAUAUUAUUAUUAUUAUUAUUAUUAUUAUUAUUAUUAUUAUUAUUGCGUACAGGUUAAUGUAAGUGACCUGCCUUAGCCUCUCACUACUUUGUCGAGGUUAGACUCGACACUUACUGGGUACAUGGGUUCAGUUGUACUCAUACUACACUC
rnacentral:lncRNA from 1 species